UACGUAGGGUGCAAGCGUUUGUCCGGAAUUAUUGGGCGUAAAGAGCUCGUAGGCGGUUUGUCGCGUCUGCUGUGAAAUCCCGAGGCUCAACCUCGGGCUUGCAGUGGGUACGGGCAGACUAGAGUGCGGUAGGGGAGAUUGGAAUUCCUGGUGUAGCGGUGGAAUGCGCAGAUAUCAGGAGGAACACCGAUGGCGAAGGCAGAUCUCUGGGCCGUAACUGACGCUGAGGAGCGAAAGCAUGGGGAGCGAACAGG
rnacentral:rRNA from 1 species